GGAAAGAUGCUAGAGUGGUGAAUAGGGCAAUUUGCUAAAUUGUUGAGGUAAACUCACGAGGGUUCGAGCCCCUCUCUUUCCU
rnacentral:tRNA from 1 species